rnacentral:rRNA from 1 species
UACAGAGGGUGCGAGCGUUGUCCGGAAUCACUGGGCGUAAAGGGCGCGUAGGUGGUGGCUUAAGCGUGCGGUGAAAGCUCGGAGCUCAACUCCGAGUCGGCCGUGCGAACUGGGCUCACUGGAGCAUAGUAGAGGUAGGUGGAAUUCCGGGUGUAGCGGUGGAAUGCGUAGAGAUCCGGAAGAACACCGGUGGCGAAGGCGGCCUGCUGGGCUAUGGCUGACACUGAGGCGCGACAGCGUGGGGAGCAAACAGG